GAUGAAGAACGUAGCGAAAUGCGAUAAGUAAUGUGAAUUGCAGAAUUCAGUGAAUCAUCGAAUCUUUGAACGCACAUUGCGCCCGGCAGCAUUCUGGCGGGCAUGCCUGUUCGAGCGUCAUUUCAACCCUCGCAGCCCAUCUGGGCAGCGGUGUUGGGGACCGGCACCACCGGCGAAGCCCUUAGGGGCCCAGCCGGCGCCGCCCCCGAAAUACAGUGGCGGUCUCGCUGCAGCCUCCCUUGCGUAGUAGCACACCUCGCACCGGAGCGCAGCGCGGCCACGCCGUAAAACCCCCGACUUUCUGAGUUUGACCUCGAAUCAGGUAGGAAUACCCGCUGAACUUAAGCAUAUCAAUAAGCGGAGGA
rnacentral:misc_RNA from 1 species